GCCAGGCAUGGUGGUGGGUGCCUGUAAUCCCAGCUACUUGGGAGGCUGAGGCAGGAGAAUCACUCGAACCCGGGAGGCAGAGGUUACAGUGAGCUAAGCUGAGAUGGCACCACUGCACUCCAGCCUGGGUGACAGAGUGAAACUCUGUCUCAA
rnacentral:SRP_RNA from 1 species